UCACUGGGUUUAAAGGGUCCGUAGGCGGUUUUAUAAGUCAGUGGUGAAAUCCCACCGCUCAACGGGGGAACGGCCAUUGAUACUGUAGGACUUGAAUUAUUAGGAAGUAACUAGAAUAUGUAGUGUAGCGGUGAAAUGCUUAGAGAUUACAUGGAAUACCAAUUGCGAAGGCAGGUUACUACUAAUGGAUUGACGCUGAUGGACGAAAGCGUGGGUAGCGAACAGGAUUAGAUACCCUGGUAGUCCACGCCGUAAACGAUGGAUACUAGCUGUUGGAAGCAAUUUCAGUGGCUAAGCGAAAGUGAUAAGUAUCCCACCUGGGGAGUACGUUCGCAAGAAUAAACUCAAAGGAAUGACGGGGGCCCGCACAAGCGGGGAGCAUGUGGUUUAAUUCGAUGCUACGCGAGGAACCUUA
rnacentral:rRNA from 1 species